rnacentral:rRNA from 1 species
UACGUAGGGUGCGAGCGUUAAUCGGAAUUACUGGGCGUAAAGCGUGCGCAGGCGGUUUUGUAAGUCUGUCGUGAAAUCCCCGGGCUCAACCUGGGAAUUGCGAUGGAGACUGCAAGGCUAGAAUCUGGCAGAGGGGGGGUAGAAUUCCACGUGUAGCAGUGAAAUGCGUAGAGAUGUGGAGGAACACCGAUGGCGAAGGCAGCCCCCCUGGGUCAAGAUUGACGCUCAUGCACGAAAGCGU